rnacentral:rRNA from 1 species
AUUGAACGCUGGCGGCAGGCCUAACACAUGCAAGUCGAACGAGUGGCGGACGGGUGAGUAAUGUCUGGGAAACUGCCUGAUGGAGGGGGAUAACUACUGGAAACGGUAGCUAAUACCGCAUACCAUCGGAUGUGCCCAGAUGGGCUUAGCUGGUCGGUGGGGUAACGGCUCACCACGGCGACGAUCCCUAGCUGGGCUGAGAGGAUGACCAGCCAAACUGGAACUGAGACACGGUCAAGAGUCCUACGGGAGGAAGCGGGGAGGAAGAUUGCGCAAUGGGCGCAAGCCUGAUGCAGCCAUGCCGCGUGUAUGAAGAGGGCCUUCGGGUUGUAAAGUACUUUCAGCGAGGAGGCGUUACUCGCAGAAGAAGCACCGGCUAACUCCGUGCCAGCAGCCGCGGUAAUUC